rnacentral:rRNA from 1 species
AGAACGACUCUCAGCAACGGAUAUCUUGGCUCUUGCAACGAUGAAGAACGCAGCGAAAUGCGAUACCUAGUGUGAAUUGCAGAAUUCCGCGAAUCAUUGAGUCUUUGAACGCAAGUUGCGCCCGAGGCUUGUCCCGAGGGCAUGCCUGCCUGAGCGUCACC